GAGGUCUCAUCACUACUGAGUCAGGAAAGAAGGCCCAGGAACUGCAGAUGGAAGAGGUCCUGUCGAUGGUGGAAGCUUGUGAGUGCUGGUGAUAACUUCACCUCAGAAGGAAGCAUAUGAAACAGAUGACCUGGAUCACCGGCAUGCACACACAGACUCUUUGUAAGCCAUGCAAGCAGAGAGAGAUAUGGAACCAGUGACCCCCAUCUCUACAGGAGGCCACCAGAAUGCUACUAUUGCCAGGAUCCUGAGAUGUCAGGAAGAAACCUGAAUUUGGCUCCAAGAAGCUUCCAAAUUAGGA